CGUGUCUGUUUUUUCUACGAGCGCGCAUAUAUCUUUCGCCUUUUGCUAAAGAUAUCCGUGUAGAGGAAUGGCACGAUGAGUUUGUGAAGUAAUUUUCUUCUUGCUC